ACCAGCCCCCACGGCGCACAAAGCGACGGCACCGCGAUGCCAGGCGUCGAGCCCUCGCCACGCUAGCGACCGCGACUGCUGCCACCUCAGCCGAGACAAAAUAUGUGAUAGCAGUGCAUGUGACAACGUAACUGUAGUGUUUCUUUUCACAAUACUUAACUUCCGCUAACAUGUACAAGACGGUGCGGCAUGGCGAGAACAGCCUGCAGUACACCAUCCUGCCGCAAACUGAGGAGGUGCUCAACAACAGCGGCCUUAAAGGCAAAGGCCGUGAUUAUAGCCCCUCGAUCCAUGUUCGACACUCUCGGAAAAGAUCGUCAGUGAAAUAUAUUCUGCUUGUGAUAUUCGGUAUAAUAGUAGCGUUGGCGUUGGCAUCUAUUCCACUCUAUGUUAUGAACGGAGCCCUGUACGCUCGCAGGAGCCAGCAAGACGUGAUUACGUCUUCGCCUCAUACGCCAGGUGGAAGGGAUAUAGUGAAGUCGCGCAAAAAGGACCUAAAGGAGAUAUCGCCAGAACUGCUUUCAACACUAAUAUCAAAACUUGAAACAACGUCAACUACUGCAUCUCCCGCCACUCCAUCCACGACAGUUGCCACAACUGUAGUUAGUGAAAGAGCAACGACGCCUCCAUGGACUAUGCCCGCUCUAAGGUCGUGGAAAAGCUCGACAUCUUCUACAACUAUUCCUCCUAUUCCGACUGAAGACAUUGAGGAGAUUCCCCUUAUAGGCACUCCCUCUGGUAGCAUUCGACGGCUCGAUCAGUACAUGUCGAAUAAACCAUGGGUAACAAAUAGUAAUAAUGUAAUACCACUAAAACCUACUGUAACACCUGAACCAACAGUCCGGAAUAUGUAUAGAUACUACUCUCGGUCAUUCGUUCCGUCAGUUAAAAUACCAACUGAUCCUCCAAAGGUGUUUGAGGAUGUGCUAAUUACUACGAAGGGUACUACGACGCGUGCCCCUGUGACGACCGAGAUCAUGACCACCAAUGACAGCUUUAGAAUGAGUGAAGAAUGGAAGGAUACUCUUCUAUCGGUUGAUGAUGACGAGGGUUUAAAGUCACUGGAAGUGGAUGAGGUGUUCUCCCUUCCGCCGUUGAAGCCGAACACCGCGGCCGACAGUGACGAAGUUACGGUGUCCAAGGCGGGUGACGGUACGUGGUACGGGGCACGGUGGCCUUUCGUGGACACGUCAUCAUACUUUCAAUGGACGGGCUACUCCCCCGGCGACAACCUGCUGCUGCCGCUCCUGGUCGCGGCGCUCUCGUCAAUCGCGCUUGUCUUGCUGCUGGCGCUCGCCGUGCGCAAGAGGAAGCGGAGCCAAACCGCCUCAGCGAUUGGGCUGACCUCGGACCUGCAGGCAGACGACAACACGAAUCUGCUCACGGCUGAAAACCCAGAGGACGUCGAGGAGUGAGCUCCGAGUCACCGCGCUUCAAGCUUCUUCGAUCCAUCCUAGAAUGCUUCUGUAUAUAUCGUGGUGGUACCCGUGGGUACCACAAAAAUGGAAAUUUGAAAAUCGUCUUUUUGCCUCUAGCUUAUUCGAGCGAUAGAGGCAAAUAGUUGAACGAACGAAAUGGUUCGCGGUUAUAACCCAGAGUAUCUGCACUCAAUUUCAAGAUUUUUGCGUAGGGACAAGGAGAAACCACAUCAUACAAAAUAUGUCAAAGACCUUGUGCUGUAAAGCUAAAUUGUAUGUGACAUACCUAUACUAUUGCUGAGUGCAGUAUCUGUGACUUUAUCCAUACAACAGACGCACAUAUAGUGUUAUCUAGGUAGUGUAAUAUCAUCUGUGGCACGGCGCAGCUUGCAAGCAAUGUUUCGGAAUUGGAACUGUGAGGGAGAGAUUGUUAAGAAGUAAUCACGGUUGGUAAUCGGACGCAGAAAGGCUGAAACAUUAUUUAAACACCCGCCUCUUCUAUGUUAACACAACACAGCCAUAGUUAAUGAAAUAGGAACGUAGGCUGUCCUCGAUUGUACAAGAGGCAUUCACGCACCUUGUAAUGAUUUAGCUGCCAUAGAUUCUCGGAGGUGUAUCCUCUGACGUACAUAACGGUCAUAUUUAAACUUUCAGUGCCUAUUGUUUGUAUAUAAAAUGUACCUACGUUUGGAGGUCUCCGUGCCGGCCAAGGACUUCAUAUUCAGAGAUACGAUAUAAUAUGUAAGUAUAUUUUGUAUUCACAUUAGAUAUUGGACUGUAAAUUAGGUAUGCGUCAAAUGCCAAAGUCGCUAAUUUAUUUUUGUUACAAAAUAUAAUCUAUAAAUAUUUAUUGAACGUCAUUUGCCAUCCUAUUAAAAAGUAUUAUUACUAGAUAUAUUAUAGUAGAAUACUGAUGAGCUUGCUAGUAACUUUACUGUACGGGGCUUAUCACAAUUUGUUUGAUUUCUUUUAAGAUAUCUUCUUAGUAGCUUCUUUCGUACCCCUAUGCUAAUGUUUAUAGGACCUAUCUUAGAAGUUAGAUAAUUCUCAAUAAUUAUUAAAUGGCUAGGAGGUUUGCUAUAUUUUCUAUUUAUCAUCAUGGAUUAACUUUUGAUUGAGAUAAAUUAUAAUAAUGGAUGCUGCCUACUACUUAAUAUUUAACUAUGUAAUACAAUAAAGGAACAAAACUACACCCAAUCACUUUAUAUAAAAAGGUUUCCACUCUUAGUACCUACAAUUAUUUAUAGGUAAACUCAUCAUCAGCACCUAAUUCAACAGUACCUAUUAAGUAUUCAAAAGCAUAUAUGAAAAAUGCAAUUCACAUAGUAUGUACUAUGUAUAUCAUAUCUCUGAAGGUUCGAUUGAAUGACUCGUCAGUAUUAAAACAACCCUGUGGUAUUACCUUGACGCUAAACAUGCAAUACUUUUUUAUUGGGUACACUACAUAAAAAGUCCGUAAAGAUUUUUUUCUGAAAGCAUAAUUGAGAAAACCGUGUUUUAUAAAAUAAUGUUUUCCUUCCUAUAUUUUCUGCUAAAUUAUCCAUGGCAAUAUUUCCCUCCGUGUUUCUAGAAUCAGAGAAGAAUAGGUAGUACUUUUGGAGAAAAAACUUUUCGGAUUUUUUGAGUGUUCCCCUAUUUAUUUUAUUAGUAGUCGGAUGAUAGGAUAAGGCGAAAAUAUCAAUCUUGGUGUACCUAAUAAUAUUGUACCGUUUAAACGUCAACUUUAUUAUAUUUAUAUUAUUUUAAUUUUAUUAUUCUUCAAUAAAAUUAUUUUUAAUAUAGACAUAAGACUGAUAUAGGAUUGCGUUUACAUUAUUUCGAUGUUAUUAGAUACCUAGGUAGUAGCGAUUCGUUGAAAAAUAUUUUUUAUAACGGCACUAUUUUGUUUCAAUAAGUUUUUCAGCAAUGCGUUUUUCGUGUGCUAUUUAAUGUAAAUCUAUUUAUAUGUAUUGUACUUCAAUGUUAGAAUAUGAGUGUAUGAUCGAGGGGAGACGAGUGGGAUUGUGUAGGACUAAAUAGUUAGAUAUUCAAAUGUGAUACCUGUGUAGUAUCGGAGACAAUGUGAUUCCCCUGUAGACAGAACAGUCCAUCGGUCAAGACAAAAGACCCCAUUCAAAACUUUAAACGUAACGCGUUAUAUUGCGACAACCAGAUAUCAUUGUCAUUAAGAUCCGAGUAGCAUAUUUACACACUCCGCAAUGUCACCAGUUAACUCCAACCGUCUUGAAUGGGGCCAUCGUCUGGCCCUAAAGUACCUAGCCUUAAGUUGUGUAACAUUCUGAAUUCAAUGUAAUGCCAUGGAUCACUAUAUCAAUCAUGCUAGCAAACAUUAUAUCUUGCAAAUGAUCGCACACAAAUGUAUCAAUAGUUGUUAAGUUAAAUUAGCUUUUGUGACGACAUUGUGUUCUGUGAUGCCAUGCGCGUAACUUUUAUAUACGCCGUUGUUUUUACACCCACCAUGUACAUAAGUAAUGAAAUAAACUGUGUUUUCCCACCUCAAAA